rnacentral:rRNA from 1 species
GCGGUGGUCCCACCUGACCCCAUGCCGAACUCAGAAGGGAAACGCCGUAGCGCCGAUGGUAGUGUGGGGUCUCCCCAUGCGAGAGUAGGGAACUGCCAGGC